ACCAGGGCAUAACAAUGUGGAACAACUAAAAUAACCAAUCAGCACAGGACAACAAGAAGCAGACGGCGUAACAAGGACCGAAAGCCUGGGGGCUGAAGCUAAUUCAGUGGUAAAGACAUGAGCUCGUCUCUUGGAGGUCGACGUGAGGAGGUCUGCACUGGAAAAGACCACACUGACAGGUGUCCACAGUGUAACAGGCAGGCAGGUACACAGACAGACUGACUGGCAAGCAGAUAGAUAGACAGACAGAUGAAGAGGCAGGCAGGCAAGCAGGUAGAGAAAUAGAGAGACAGGAAGGCAGAUAGACAGGCAGGCAGACAGACAGGCAGGUAGAUAGACAUGUCUAGGAGGGCAGAAUGAGGCUGUGCGACCCUGAUAAAUACUCCUGCUUCCUGUGAGGUUUUAUGUAUUUCCUCUCCAGGACCAAACAGCUGUCUCCCUUCCUCCAUCUCUGAGCUACAGGAUGGUAUGUGUCACCUAACCUCUGCACACUGCACGCAGUGAUUUGCAGUGAUUUGCAUAUGCCAUAGGAUGCUUGGCCCUUUGCCUCCUUCCUGAUCCAAACUUCUAGGGUCUCCAUGGGUAACCAGCAUCCUGAUGCCAUGAAGAGGGUGUUGAGGAAGAGGAGAAGCUUCAUGGUGUAGUAAUACCAGCCACAUUUAAAUCAACAUGUAGGAAAAAAAAUCACCUGAGCUGCAAAACACAUAGCAAUCCAGUGGGGGCGCUGUUUGGCUCAUUGAGUUUGGAUGCUAUGUCUAUGAUGGGAAGGUCACCUGUUCAAUGUCACUACUGGGCCCCUCCGUAAGGCCCUUAACCCACCGUUACUCCAGGCACUGUUUGGCCCUGCUUUCUCAAAAAUGUCGCUUUUUAUGAAAUUGUCUGUUAAAUCUAACAUUCAUUUAAUUGAUAGAAAUGUGCAUCACUGGUGAAAGGUAAGCAAGUACUUAACAGUGAUAAAUUCAGUGUCUUACUUUUAACAGGGUUCUAAAUACAUAUAUAAAGCAAGCUGUGAUUGGAAAGCAGUUCAUACCCAAAAUGGUACAAUGGCCAAAAAAAUCCAUCCGUCUGUGUCUGCACUCGUUCUGCCGUCUUAUUCGAAACCAAAGCGGGUCGUACCUCCCACUUCACCUGGUGUCAGUCAGAAUGGCACAGGUGUAAUAUUCACUGUCGAGGUGUCACUUUUCAUUCAUGUUGUAAUUAUGGAGACCCCAGCUGCCUUACUGUGAGGUCAAAGCGAAACGUGGCUUUCAUGGGUUUUUCAAAUGUUGCCACACGAAUGCAGCAGUGCUAUUACCUGUCAAAGUUUACAGGUUUUCAGUGACUGACAUUUCAGUCACAUUUAACUGAUUUUACUGGGUCACAUGAUCGGGGGCGGGGCCUCAGGAUUGCAUUUCUCUCCACAGUGGGAUUUCAGUCACUACAGUCAUUGAUAAAACAAAC